UACAUGCAGUGGUCUCUCCCGUUUGCGACCACUUCAAGAGCCCACCAUGCAAACUUGGUCAUCAAAUGGAGGUGGUCUCAGUUAUGUAAGUGCAGGACUGAAGGUGGUCGCACGUCAAAGGCAGGGAAUCGCACAUGAUCAUGAGAAGGACGCGUAUUUUGUGUGCGUCGUCGGGAUUCGCUGCAGCAUGUUUCUAAUGAUGUAUACACUGUACAUGCACGACCAUUGUCUCUAAGGCAACAUGUUCAAUCUACCAAAUUUGGGCAAAGCUCUAGAGAAACGCUGAUGUCAAUAGAAAAUCGUUUCACAGUUUUUGGAAUGAUGGUUACUUGUCUAGCGGUCAUUUUGGUGGGUCUGGUAAGAAGUAUGGAUUGAGAUUGGAGAUCAUGCUAUUUCUGAACAGAUUGUUCCUUGCUGGAAAUGCCAAUUCUGUUUCAGAGGAGGAUAUCACACGUGUGCGACCGUGCCCCACAUGAUAUCUAAGGAUUUUACCAAAGAUCACCAGGAAAAUAAACAAGUACUAGAAGAAAUGCUCCGGCUGCUGCAGCAAAUUCUGAAAAAUAUUACCGGUAAGUGUAUGCACUCGCAUAUUAAAGAAUUUGUCUGCAGGUGUACAGACACAGUGACACACACACACACACACACACACACACACACACACACACACACACACACACACACACACACACACACACACACACACACACACACACACACACACACAAUCAAUCAAUCCCUCCAUCCAUUUGCUGCUUGUGCUUCAUGAUUACCAUAAGAGUACAGGAGAUGCAGGCCAAAAAACUUCAAGUCUACACUGCUCGAGGUCUGUCUCGACAAAAACAUUGGUGGUUAUAAAGACCUUGCUGUUUGAAAGUCUGAUGACCAAACUGACAUGGAAUACUGAGGCAGUAGAAUGACAACGUUGGUAACUAAUCAAACCUGCUUUGUUAGAUGCCUGAAAUUAGCAGCCAGGAUUGAGUACAGUGCAAAAGACUCACGGUUUUACAAGUCGUUGUUCUCGUCGUCAUUUUCUGUCAUCUCUGAGGCUCUUCUCUUUGUCAUCUGCUUCAUUGUUGAAUUGUCCUGCGCUAUGUUUGAUGAUGGAGCACCAAGAGUUAUGCUCUUCAGCUUUCUCGCUCCAGGAUUCUAACAAGUUACACUGUUUGAGGUCACCAGUCACAACAUCAUUCCAACUACGCUUCUGUCCAUCAACAUUGUGCUUGCAACCAACAGGAGCAGACACAAGAAGCUGCUUGGGUAAGCAAUCAUUGACAUCUUUGAGAGAUGUUCAAGAAAUGAAGUGUGAUGCUUCUGCUCCCUGACCGAGAUCCCCAAUAUAAUUCGAAGGCAACAAAUCAAAAAUGACUCAAAACGACGCCCACAAGACUCAAGGAGGACGGUGCACUCGAGACUAUACAGCAAGGUUGGAAGGAUCACACUGUUAAAAGAUGAACCCUGGUGCUUGUCUUGAUCUUAUACGUUAAUACCACAAGAUCCAAGAGAGAGACUGAAAGGCAUGAGGCUUUACAGAUUCCAGAAUUAAUCUCUGUGUCCAAUCCACAAUCAUUUUGAACAAUGCUUCCCAAGUACUGGAAAUGAGAGACCACUUCAAUAGGCUCGUCUCCAACAACAAGGUGGAUGGAUACAGGAGAUUGAAUGUGUGAGCACUCAGAUGGCCGAUAGAACAGCUAAGGGUUUUGUCUUUUUGCAGCUAAUAGUGAGACCUAGUUUCAUACAGCAGUUUGAUAAGAAAUCCAGCAUUGUGAUGAGGUCAAACCAAUUGUCAGAGAGAAGAGCCAUAUCGUCGGCAUACUCAAAUCAGUCACCAGAGAUUCGAAUCUCAAGGUCUUCCUGUUCUCGACAAGAUGGGCAUCAUGAAGGUAGGUUAUACUUUGAUGUCCUUUCCUUGUGAUCUGUGCUUGUCCAAAGCCAUGUGAAUGGCAAUGUCAAAGUAGAAUAAGGCAGGUGCCAACACACAGCUUUGCUGGACACUGCUGGCAUGCACACA